rnacentral:rRNA from 1 species
CCUACGGGGGGCUGCAGUGGGGAAUAUUGCACAAUGGGCGCAAGCCUGAUGCAGCCAUGCCGCGUGUGUGAAGAAGGCCUUCGGGUUGUAAAGCACUUUCAGCGGGGAGGAAGGCGUCAAGGUUAAUAACCUUGGCGAUUGACGUUACCCGCAGAAGAAGCACCGGCUAACUCCGUGCCAGCAGCCGCGGUAAUACGGAGGGUGCAAGCGUUAAUCGGAAUUACUGGGCGUAAAGCGCACGCAGGCGGUCUGUCAAGUCGGAUGUGAAAUCCCCGGGCUCAACCGGGGAACUGCAUUCGAAACUGGCAGGCUAGAGUCUUGUAGAGGGGGGGAGAAUUCCAGGUGUAGCGGUGAAAUGCGUAGAGAUCUGGAGGAAUACCGGGGGCGAAGGCGGCCCCCUGGACAAAGACUGACGCGCAGGUGCGAAAGCGUGGGGAGCAAACAGGAUUAGAUACCCGGUAGUC